UGGGAUGUCGCCAAGCGGUAAGGCACCAGACUUUGACUCUGGCAUUCGUUGGUUCGAAUCCAGCCAUCCCAGCCA
rnacentral:tRNA from 1 species